UACGUAGGGUCCGAGCGUUGUCCGGAAUUAUUGGGCGUAAAGGGCUCGUAGGCGGUUUGUCACGUCGGGAGUGAAAACUCAGGGCUCAACCCUGAGCGUGCUUCCGAUACGGGCAGACUAGAGGUAUGCAGGGGAGAACGGAAUUCCUGGUGUAGCGGUGGAAUGCGCAGAUAUCAGGAGGAACACCGGUGGCGAAGGCGGUUCUCUGGGCAUUACCUGACGCUGAGGCGCGAAAGCCAGGGGAGCGAACGGG
rnacentral:rRNA from 1 species